AUUGUAAAGGAACAACAGGGCAGUCAAGCUAUGGUGAGUUCCGUAUCACCCAUGCCUGUCAAUGCGGAGGACAAAGAACUUGACGGAUUGGAACAGCACAAAAGGAACGAAGGCUGACGUUUUCGAUAGGAGUGGAGAGAGACUGGAAAGAGCUACGUAAUCGUAUGGGCAGAAAAACAAAUGCUCUUGAUAAUUGUUUGCUAACAGUGAUUUUUAGUUUAAACUACUUGUGGGCUGAGUAAUUUAAUUGCAAUUGGUAGUGAAUGCAGAUGAAAUUCCUAGCUAGUACCAACUUGGAAAAGUGUAUUUAAAGUCCACCAGUUAAAAUUGAUUACUAAUUGUUCACGUAAAGUCAUGCAAAUUGGGAUACGUAUUGUUUCGGAUCGUAAAUUGGAAGGACACGAAAUGUGAGUAACAAGAAGAUAACCGUUUAACAUCAAACUAAACCUAAAAUACAAUUACAGCUUGAAGCUGCAUUAGCUGCUGGAAAGACGUGUUUUAACACCUUCAACACCUAUCCGAAACAAUUAU